UACAGAGGUGGCAAGCGUUGUUCGGAAUUACUGGGCGUAAAGGGCGCGUAGGCGGCCUUCUCAGUCAGACGUGAAAUCCCCGGGCUUAACUCGGGAACUGCGUCUGAUACUGGAAGGCUGGAGUUCGGGAGAGGGAUGUGGAAUUCCAGGUGUAGCGGUGAAAUGCGUAGAUAUCUGGAGGAACACCGGUGGCGAAGGCGGCAUCCUGGACCGAAACUGACGCUGAGGCGCGAAAGCCAGGGGAGCAAACGGG
rnacentral:rRNA from 1 species